GGGCCAGGCACUCCUUAAGGGCUUCUUUAGUUUUUAUUUCCCCCUCUCUCGUCGCGGAGCACAGGCUCCCGAGUGCCUGAGCUCAGUAGCUGCAGUGUGCAGGCUUACUUGCCGCCCUCUCUCCAAUGUGCAAUCUUAGUUCCCUGACCAGGGAUCGAACCUGCGCACUCUGCAUUGCAAGGCAGACUCUUAACCACUGGACCACCAGGGACAUCCCAGGGCUCUACUUCUAUUCACUCGUGUAAUCCUUUCAACAAAUCUCUGAGGUAGGUACAGGUGGGAAACUGAGGCACAGGUGAGAUGACUCAGAGGUCAUCGAGCUAGUGACAGAGCCAUGGCAGGAACUUUCCAUCUGGCUCCUGGGUCUGUGCUUUUAGAAGUACGCAAGAGGGUGGCAGAAAGAGAAUCACGGGAGGGGGAUAGAAGGACAGAUUCACGGCCAGGCUCACUCUGACCUCCCAGUUACCCUCCCCUUCUGGGUCAUAACCUCCCCCUCUGCCAACCUGGUCCUCUUCCUUUCAAGCCCAGGUAAGAGGCUCGUUUCAAAGAAUGGAAACAAAAAAGGACUAAAUUAGAGACAGAGGAACCAGUCUGUUGUCAAGACCCUGUAGGACCCUCAGCACGUUCCCUCCUCCCCUGGGUCUCAGUUCCCCAUCUGUAGAGGAGGGCUGGGCCCGUCCACACCUAAAGAUCCUUUCAACUCUGAUGUGCUAAAUCCUGAACAGCUGCUUGGAAGCUAGAAGAAUUCCUAGGAGCCUCUUGGCCUCGGACCCUGGCUGCAUCUCCCAGGAACUCCCUGUUGUCCCUGAAUACAGGAUUUCAGCUCCUGGCUCCUGUGGGCUCUGCUGUGAGGGCUCCUGGCUACGCUUGGGGGCGAGGGAGGUGAGUGACCUUGGGCGAGUCACCUGGCUCCUGGAGCCUGUUUCUCCUCUGCAAAAUGGGGCGACCGACUGGUACCACUGACCUCCCAGGGACGGACUGCAAAGGCAAAAGAGAGGAAAGGACGUGGUAAAUGACCAGAUGCCCUUCGCUUGGGUGCGGUUAUCUUCAGGACUUCCCCCAGCCUCCCACCUGGAGGUAAAGUGUUGGUGGCGUGGAGAAGAGAUACCUACCUGUUCAAGUACAACCUGAGUAAUUCCUAUCAAGACACCUCCUUGGAACCUGGAAGCUUUCCAAAGGAGAAGACUCCCCUCCCCCACCUUACCUGUGUGCACUUGUGACCUGCCAUGGUGAGCUAAUUCUGUGGUGGCGAAACGCACCGUCCCCACGUUCGCUCACACCUGUGCCUGCGU
rnacentral:lncRNA from 1 species